ACAGUGUUAAAGAAAUGCAUUUCUACAGUGAUGUUUCAGACUUGAGAAUUCUCCACUGCUCAUCUUCCAGAGGAAAAAGUGAAUGUUUAAGGUGGUAACAACAAACAUAUUUUAGGAAAAACUACCACCUUUAAUAAAUGCACAGAAGUGAUGAAAAUGAAGGGAAUAUUCUACUUGCAAACCUAUAUUGUUAAGAGGGACCUGAGGACUUCAUCCCUGAUGAGCCAAACUGAAGAGCUUGCAGGUAGGUUAGUGAAUGACUUCCUUCCGGCUUACGCAUCUUGUCUGUCACCUUACAGUAACUGAGAGGUGGAAGAACAGCUCAGGGGCCCAAAGGCUCCCCUGUGUCAAUCUCUCAUCAAGUCAGAAGACAGCUGGAAGUUGAGCAACUUCCACAGUGAAAAAGUCACUAUAUUUUAUAUACACGAUGCCACCAUGGAAGGUCAACUUGGAAAAAAAAGCAGCAGACUUUCCAAAAGUAUCUAAAGAGGUGAAUUAAUCCUUGAAAAAAUAUACUACCAGUUCUAAUUGUAUAAUAAUUUUAUGUGUUUUAUAUAGCAAAGAAAAGUCUGUGCAUGUUCAUCAACAAAACAGAGAUCUCCUGUGCUCAUGGUCUUAGUCCUGGGCAUUCACACUGACUUGAUAAUGCUGUUUGAUGGUUUUUUGUUUUGUUUUGUUUUCCCUGUACUUUUUAAGAUAUAGGAGUUGUUCAUAGCAAAAGAAAGAAUGACAAAAAAAUAGAGAUCUACUGACUCUGCUGCAUUUAGCUAUCUUUAACACCAGUUUCACUGAUAACACAAAAGAAAACAUCAGUUACCAAAUCCAGUUCACUUGGAAUGGAAAAAGAAGAGACAUUAUCUCAUUUGUUUUGCUCUCUUUAUUAAUUCCUUCAGCCCAAAUUUCACAAUCCUCAGCAUUAGUAGCACUCACCUGAAACCUCUCUGAGAGAGAAAAUUGAAUGGUUGGCAGAAGAAAUGGGAUUUUUCCUCAUUAAUUUCCUGACCUUUCCAAUGUCAAAGGUGAUCACUCCUUUCACACCAGAGCAUAAAAGUUGUUAUUUAAAAGAAAAAGAAUCUGAGUGUCUCACGCUUAGCUUUUUGGAGAAUAAUUUGCACUGAUGAAAAACAGUUCCCAUCUAUUACCAAAUCAAGACAAUUGCAUUUUGAAUUUACUUUACCCAGAGGUGAAAGUGCAUAGCACUGCAAAAUGAUGCACUACUUUGUUAUGCAGUUGAGACGCUUUUUCAGUUUGGAAAGUACUGUUGGUUUGCAAAGGUCAUGUUUACAGUUAGGUUAAAGAGAAAUUAUAGACAAUCGUGUCUAUAUCAGAUAUAUUUCGGGGCGAGGGCUGCUCAUUGUGUGCUCACAGUGACUUUAAUAAACACCUCCCAAUUCUGGGUGAGAGGAUGUGGUUUCCAUCAGAAACCUUUAGAAGAUAAU
ensembl:lncRNA